rnacentral:rRNA from 1 species
UGGCGGACGGGUGAGUAACGCGUGGGGAACCUGCCCUGUACAGGGGGAUAACACUUAGAAAUAGGUGCUAAUACCGCAUAAGCGCACAGUAUCGCAUGAUACAGUGUGAAAAACUCCGGUGGUGUAAGAUGGACCCGCGUCUGAUUAGCUUGUUGGCGGGGUAACGGCCCACCAAGGCGACGAUCAGUAGCCGGCCUGAGAGGGCGGACGGCCACAUUGGGACUGAGACACGGCCCAGACUCCUACGGAAGGCAGCAG